CUCAAUGAAUGACAGCACACUAGGAAGCUCAGAGCUUGCUUCUCCAUUCAUCCCUGAAUGUGACUGGACAGGGUAAUAGGUUAGUUAAGAAGUGGGCUGAAAUUGUGUUGCUGGAAAAGCGCAGCAGG